GCCGACACCUCUUCACCACGUCCUGCGACCAGGGGAAGCCGGUCCGAGUCCGGCGCUGACCCGCAACCGUAGGCCGCGUGCCCCCCACGCGGCGAGCCGGAGCACCUGCGCGGGACGAGAGGCUCCU
rnacentral:ncRNA from 2 species